rnacentral:rRNA from 1 species
GACGAACGCUGGCGGCGUGCCUAAUACAUGCAAGUCGAACGCACUCACGUGUAGAUUGCUGGACUUUGCUCAUGAUUGGACAACAGUUGAAUGAGUGGCGGACGGGUGAGUAAGACUUGGAUAACCUGCCCUAACGGGGGGGAUAACAUUUGGAAACAGAUACUCAUACCGCUUAAAACCUAACACCGCAUGGUGUAGGGCUGAUAGAUGGUUUCGGCUAUCACUAUCUGAUGGAUCCGCGAUGCAUUAGUUAGUUGGUGAGGUAAAGGCUCACCAAGGCAACGAUGCAUAGCCGACCUGAGAGGGUAAUCGGCCACACUGGAACUGAGACACGGCCCAGACUCCUACGGGAGGCAGCAGUAGGGAAUCUUCCACAAAGGGCGAAAGCCUGAUGGAGCAACGCCGCGUGAGUGAAGAAGGUCUUCGGAUCGUAAAACUCUGUUGUUGGAGAAGAAUGUAUGUGUUAGUAACUGUGCAGGUAUUGACGGUACCCAACCAGAAAGCCACGGCUAACUACGUG